GGGCUGACUGGGGCUGGUGACUCCCUGGGAAAAACUAUUAUUAAUAAUGAAUGAACUCUCCGGACGGAGUUCUCGCUGUGUCUUUUGGCCUUUCCAGGGUUCCGAAAACCCAAAGCCGGAGUUAGGCUGCCAAAUCUAUCCGACCAGACGGUAGCGGUAGCCAAUGUGCGCACGGCGGUGGUGAUGUAAUAAUAUAAGUUCCGCAGUUUGGAAGUCUCGUCAAGUACGGAGUGCCUAAAAAUGGAGUCUGGAGGAUCGACGAGGCUGUGGGGUUUUGCCUAGCUUGGAACCCGGGAGGGGGGGGAAUGAUUACUACUGCUGCUAAUAAUAAUGGUAAAAAUAUCGAUGGAUGUCGGUGCGAUGAUUCAAGGUGGAAAUACAAGGGAUGCACAGACACAGCAGGUGAAUGGAUAGAUGUGGAUUGACGGAGUGGAGGGAGCAUGUAUGUAUGUAUCGUAUUCAGAAAUAACCCGUGGAGGGGAGAGAUAUUCAAUUUGAAGGGAUGAGUGUUCCAGUUAGUAACUAUGUAAACGAAGCCGCGGGCCAGGAUUCAAGGAAGCAUGUGGUCAAGCAGUGAAUGCUGCCGACGAGGAGGAUUUCCGAAGGAAUUGAUUGAUGCUCAACUCUUCUUGUUCGUAGAUUAUAUUACUAUUGAUUGAUCCUUAUUACCCUUCAUUUGAUUCAGGCUAGAGCUGUUUGUUGCUUUGCUGCUUUGUUGCUUUGUUGUUGUCUUGUGGGCGGGGGCCAGCCAAGAGGGACAAAAAAAGAAAAAGGCGC
rnacentral:sRNA from 2 species